GGGCCCUUAGCUCAGUUGGUAGAGCAUCCGGCUUUUAACCGGAGUGUCCAGGGUUCGAGUCCCUGAGGGCCCACCA
rnacentral:tRNA from 1 species